rnacentral:miRNA from 1 species
UACCUCAUCGGCCGGAAGGGAUUCCUUCCGGUCAAUGAGGUAUAACAACCUCAUCGACGGAAGGAAUCCCUUCCGUCGAUGAGGGUGUUUUACCUCAUCGACCGGAAGGAAUCCCUUCCGGUCGAUAAGACU